rnacentral:tRNA from 1 species
CAGAGUGUAGCUAAACUGAAUAGCAUCUCCCUUACACUGAGAAGAUGCCUGUGCAAACCAGGCCACACUGA